CCCUUGUAGCCGCACAAGCGUUCGACCUCUACGGAUAUCCACACGAGAUUUUGAUCUGAUCAAAAAUUUUUUGAUCUCACCAGAGUACUAGCUUUCUUGUAGAGAUCAUAUCUUGAUGGUUAAAAAUCUUCUUUCCUCUCAAGACAAUCUUAGAGAAGAAGAAGAAGUAGGAGGAUGUUGAUCUCUACGCUAGAGAUCAUGAGAAGAAUCCUUUCUUCUCUUUUCUUUCUUAAACUUAUGCACCAAAUCUUUACACUAGAGAUGUAAUAAUUUUGUCUAACUUUUAAAUAAAGAGAAGAGAAAAAAUUCAUGUCUAAACAUAGACAAAAGAUGGAAGAGAAGGUGUCCUAACAACCAACCUUCGGUUGUUUGUAAUAAAGAAGAGAUAAGUGCAAUUUUACCUCACACCAUGGAGCAAUUCACCAUGUCCUCUCCCCUUAUUUUUCUCCAUGCACCUCCUCUAGUUUGAGCAUCCAAAAUUUGAUCUCUAUCAGCCAUCUAACACCUUAUGUGGUCCAUGGUUUAAAUAGGUGAAGGGAUAAAGUUUUUGGAUAGGAAAUAAGAGUCCAAGUAGCCUUGGACUCUCUCUUUAUUAUGCUGCCCACCCCUUCUCAUAUUAGUGCCC
rnacentral:lncRNA from 1 species